UGAACGCUGGCGGCAGGCCUAACACAUGCAAGUCGAACGGUAACAGGAAGAAGCUUGCUUCUUUGCUGACGAGUGGCGGACGGGUGAGUAAUGUCUGGGAAACUGCCUGAUGGAGGGGGAUAACUACUGGAAACGGUAGCUAAUACCGCAUAACGUCGCAAGACCAAAGAGGGGGACCUUCGGGCCUCUUGCCAUCGGAUGUGCCCAGAUGGGAUUAGCUAGUAGGUGGGGUAAAGGCUCACCUAGGCGACGAUCCCUAGCUGGUCUGAGAGGAUGACCAGCCACACUGGAACUGAGACACGGUCCAGACUCCUACGGGAGGCAGCAGUGGGGAAUAUUGCACAAUGGGCGCAAGCCUGAUGCAGCCAUGCCGCGUGUAUGAAGAAGGCCUUCGGGUUGUAAAGUACUUUCAGCGGGGAGGAAGGGAGUAAAGUUAAUACCUUUGCUCAUUGACGUUACCCGCAGAAGAAGCACCGGCUAACUCCGUGCCAGCAGCCGCGGUAAUACGGAGGGUGCAAGCGUUAAUCGGAAUUACUGGGCGUAAAGCGCACGCAGGCGGUUUGUUAAGUCAGAUGUGAAAUCCCCGGGCUCAACCUGGGAACUGCAUCUGAUACUGGCAAGCUUGAGUCUCGUAGAGGGGGGUAGAAUUCCAGGUGUAGCGGUGAAAUGCGUAGAGAUCUGGAGGAAUACCGGUGGCGAAGGCGGCCCCCUGGACGAAGACUGACGCUCAGGUGCGAAAGCGUGGGGGAGCAAACAGGAUUAGAUACCCUGGUAGUCCACGCCGUAAACGAUGUCGACUUGGAGGUUGUGCCCUUGAGGCGUGGCUUCCGGAGCUAACGCGUUAAGUCGACCGCCUGGGGAGUACGGCCGCAAGGUUAAAACUCAAAUGAAUUGACGGGGGCCCGCACAAGCGGUGGAGCAUGUGGUUUAAUUCGAUGCAACGCGAAGAACCUUACCUGGUCUUGACAUCCACAGAACUUUCCAGAGAUGGAUUGGUGCCUUCGGGAACUGUGAGACAGGUGCUGCAUGGCUGUCGUCAGCUCGUGUUGUGAAAUGUUGGGUUAAGUCCCGCAACGAGCGCAACCCUUAUCCUUUGUUGCCAGCGGUCCGGCCGGGAACUCAAAGGAGACUGCCAGUGAUAAACUGGAGGAAGGUGGGGAUGACGUCAAGUCAUCAUGGCCCUUACGACCAGGGCUACACACGUGCUACAAUGGCGCAUACAAAGAGAAGCGACCUCGCGAGAGCAAGCGGACCUCAUAAAGUGCGUCGUAGUCCGGAUUGGAGUCUGCAACUCGACUCCAUGAAGUCGGAAUCGCUAGUAAUCGUGGAUCAGAAUGCCACGGUGAAUACGUUCCCGGGCCUUGUACACACCGCCCGUCACACCAUGGGAGUGGGUUGCAAAAGAAGUAGGUAGCUUAACCUUCGGGAGGGCGCUUACCACUUUGUGAUUCAU
rnacentral:rRNA from 1 species